rnacentral:sRNA from 1 species
UUUGGUCUUGAAUCGUAUAACAAGGAAGCACUACUUUACUUUUCGGGAUCUCGUUGAGGUUCUAGUUUUAUAUUCAAUCACACACAUGACAUCUAGUCAUAUUUCAC